rnacentral:rRNA from 1 species
AUUGAACGCUGGCGGCAGGCCUAACACAUGCAAGUCGAGCGGAUGAAGGGAGCUUGCUCCUGGAUUCAGCGGCGGACGGGUGAGUAAUGCCUAGGAAUCUGCCUGGUAGUGGGGGAUAACGUCCGGAAACGGGCGCUAAUACCGCAUACGUCCUGAGGGAGAAAGUGGGGGAUCUUGGGAUCUCACGCUAUCAGAUGAGCCUAGGUCGGAUUAGCUAGUUGGUGGGGUAAAGGCCUACCAAGGCGACGAUCCGUAACUGGUCUGAGAGGAUGAUCAGUCACACUGGAACUGAGACACGGUCCAGACUCCUACGGGAGGCAGCAGUGGGGAAUAUUGGACAAUGGGCGAAAGCCUGAUCCAGCCAUGCCGCGUGUGUGAAGAAGGUCUUCGGAUUGUAAAGCACUUUAAGUUGGGAGGAAGGGCAGUAAGUUAAUACCUUGCUGUUUUGACGUUACCAACAGAAUAAGCACCGGCUAACUUCGUG